rnacentral:miRNA from 1 species
GCCCUCCGCCCGUGCACCUCGGGGCUGGAAACCCCGCGGGGCACGCCUGGGGGGGGAC